rnacentral:misc_RNA from 1 species
UCUCCGUUGGUGAACCAGCGGAGGGAUCAUUAUCGAGUUUAUAACUCCCAAACCCUAUGUGAACUUACCACUUGUUGCUUCGGCGCGCGCUUCGGUGCCGCUGAGGACACUUAAACUCUUUGUUUUUAUAAGCAUUUCUGAGUGGCCGAAAGGCAAAAUACAAAUGAAUCAAAACUUUCAACAACGGAUCUCUUGGUUCUG